rnacentral:lncRNA from 1 species
AUUAAUUUGGUGGUUGGGCAGAUGAUUAUGGAAGCAAUAGAUGCAGUGAAAGAAGCGGAUGGUGCAAACAAGUCAACAAUAUCGAAAUACAUGGAGUCCAAGUACGGUGAAUUGGGCGGAACACAUACUGAUUUGCUGAACCAUCACCUAACCGCCAUGAAAGACAGCGGCGAGCUUGUGUUUGUGAAGAACAAUUACCUCCGGCCGAGCUCCGAUGCUCCUCCGAAGCGCGGGCGGGGACGCCCCCCGAAGCCCAAGGAUGCUCAGGCCGCAGUCGUGGCCCCAUCCCCAUCCCCUCGCCCCCGCGGCCGCCCAAAGAAGGACCCCAACGCCCCGCCCGCCGCGAAGAAGGCCAAGAGCUCUGCCCCGGCGGCUGCUCCGCCUAGCGGGAGGCCGAGGGGCAGGCCGAAGAAGGUGCAGCCGUUGCAGAAUGGUGUGGAGGCAUGAAGUUGAAGUUGUUCCAUGUUGAUUUGAGUUUUCUGUGACUUUUUAUGUUAUUAAGUUGAUGUUUGUAUCAAAUGAUCGGCCAUGUUUGAGAUUUAGUGUACUCGGGUAGCGUUUUAGAUGUAAAUUUGGUAAGUACUUGCUUAAUCAAAUGCUAUUUGCUGGUCAACAACUCAGAUUUACUGUUGCAUUGCAUGCAUUUCAUUGCAAAUAUUGCCUGCCAAAUCUUCUCUUGUAUCUUUCAUUUUAUCUACUUCUCUAUUAUUGUGUCGGUUUUUCUAACCUAUAUGGGGAAACUAUGUUUUAAAAAAAUAAAUAAUAAUAAUAAUAUAGUAUUUUUUUUUUCCUCCAAAACAUCUCGAUAAAUAAUUAUAUAUAUACUCCUAUUAAUUACACGAUAAAUAAAGUUACAAAUAUAGCAUGUGACUACUUUUUUGUUGUUGAAAAAAUUAAUUGACAGUUGGAUUUAUGAAAUAAAAUUAAGGAUGCUUAUCCUUUCUAACGCCCAAUGAAUUGGAAAUUUCGAUUCCCCGCGCUACUUUAAAACAAAGGGGUGUGAAGGCCGGAUCGAACCCACCCGGCCUAUCGCACCCGCCACCGUUGUUGCACCCGGGUGCAAUGGAGGAGGGGCGUAUGGACACACCCGCUGCAAAGGUGGAGCGAAGGAAAUGGGUGAAUUGCACGCGCCCAUUUCCGUAAUUAAAAAAAAAAAUACGGAUUAAAAAAAANAAAAAUUUAAACGGUCAAAUGACCGUUGGCUUCUCAACGGUCUCCUCGGCCAUUUUUUAUUUUUUUUCUUUUUCACCUAUAUAUAAUCACAUAUCCCCUCCUCAAUCACAAAUACUAUAUCAAACUACUCAUUUUCUCUUCAAUUCUUAAAGAAAAUGUCUUCAUCCACCAAUUCUUCCAACAAUAAUUCUUCCUCAAAUUCUUCAUCCGACGAAGAAGUUCAUGUUGAUCCCGCACAACUUCCUCCUCUUCCCGAUCCUACUCAAGCCCCCGAUUUAUUUUUUAUGAGAUAUGCUGUGAAUUUUAUGACAGUGGCAAGUUCAUAUCGUUUCGAUCCACCUCCACCACGCCCGAGGAAGAAGCAGACAGUGGUUCGNUAGAUGCAGUGAAAGAAGCGGAUGGUGCAAACAAGUCAACAAUAUCGAAAUACAUGGAGUCCAAGUACGGUGAAUUGGGCGGAACACAUACUGAUUUGCUGAACCAUCACCUAACCGCCAUGAAAGACAGCGGCGAGCUUGUGUUUGUGAAGAACAAUUACCUCCGGCCGAGCUCCGAUGCUCCUCCGAAGCGCGGGCGGGGACGCCCCCCGAAGCCCAAGGAUGCUCAGGCCGCAGUCGUGGCCCCAUCCCCAUCCCCUCGCCCCCGCGGCCGCCCAAAGAAGGACCCCAACGCCCCGCCCGCCGCGAAG